rnacentral:sRNA from 1 species
AUUGUCGAAUCCCCACUAGGAGCCUGGUAAGACAGGCUCUAAUU